rnacentral:pre_miRNA from 1 species
CAAAUACUCCCUCCAUCUGGAAAUACUUGUCAUCAAAAUGGAUAAAAGGAAAUGUAUCUAGACGUAUUUUAGUUUUAGAUACAUCUCUUUUUAUCCAUUUUGAUGACAAGUAUUUUCGGACGGAGGGAGUAGAAA